rnacentral:rRNA from 1 species
AUUGAACGCUGGCGGCAGGCCUAACACAUGCAAGUCGAGCGAGCGGCGGACGGGUGAGUAAUGUAUGGGGACUGCCCGAUAGAGGGGGAUAACUACUGGAAACGGUAGCUAAUACCGCAUACUAUCCGAUAACCCAUAUGGGAUUAGCUAGUAGGUGAGGUAAUGGCUCACCUAGGCGACGAUCCCUAGCUGGUCUGAGCGGGUGAUCAGCCACAAUGGGACUGAGACACGGCCCAGACUCCUACGGAGGCAGAAGUGGGGAAUAUUGGGCAAUGGGCGCAAGCCGGAAGGAACCAUGCCGGGGUGUUGAAGAAGGGCCUAGGGUUGUAAAGUACUUUCAGUCGGGAGGCGUUACCGACAGAAGAAGCACCGGCUAACUCCGUGCCAGCAGCCGCGGUAAUUC